AUAUCUCAUUUGUACACUGCGGUUCCUCCCCGCCGUCCGCACCCACCUGGCGACUGCUCGCUACGAUUUGUUAGCC
rnacentral:sRNA from 1 species